UAACUGUAGGUGAACCUGCAGUUGGAUCAUUGCAAGGCACUGUAACCUGGUAAAGGUAAGGGUUGUUUGCCGGGCACGGGUGCGUGUAACAGCGCACCCGCCGCCCCGCCAACCCUCGAAGGAGCCUGGCUGUUGCAUGACCGUGCCGCCCCCUUCCUCGUGGGGGGUCGCCGGAGGAGCAUUGCACGGGCCGGGUGAGUCGGAGCCACAGGGAAGGGCGGGGGUCUGUGACCCAGAUUCAGCCUACCCGUCUGGCUACUAAUCCCGCACCUAUCACAACUGGUCACGAUCGAUGUCUCGGCUCAG
rnacentral:misc_RNA from 1 species